rnacentral:lncRNA from 10 species
GCGCCUGUAAUUUCAGCUACUCCGGGGGCUGAGGCAGGAGAAUCGCUUGAACUCGGGAAGCAGAAGUUGCAGUGAGCCAAGGUCGCACCACUGCACUCCAGCCCAGGCGACAUUGUGAGACUCCAUCUCAAAAAAAAAAAAAAGAAAAAAAGUGUACUAACAAGACCCAGCACACAGAGGAGACUUUUACCAUUGUAUGAACACCCAUCAAACAGUACACAUCAUCAUUGUGAGUUCUGAAUCUCACACAUAGAGGAAGUCAAAGGUGGAAAACUUGACUCUCAUAUUUGGAUCCAGUCCACAGGUGUGAUUUUGACGCACACUUCUGCCCAGCACCUGAGUAAUGUGAUUCUUCAGAAUUGGCCCGGCCCACAAAUAGGAUUGUGCCACACUGCUGGACCCAGUGCCUAAGUGAUGUAACUCUAUUCUUCUGCCUUGGUGCUACUCGAAAAAGACAUUGUAACAUAUCUCAGAGCCUUACACCCAGGUAAUGUGAGUCUCCUCUUCUGCCUUGCUGCUGCACACAGAAGCGGAAUAUGUACAGGAUUGUUAAUCUCAUCUUGGAUCUUCCUGCACUUGUGAUUGUGACACAUGCCUCUGUGUAGAACCUGAGUUUCAACUGCAGCAGAGAUUGUAACAAACCACUGGGCCCAGCCGCAUAAUGAUGUUACUCUUUUGCCUUGGGCCUGCCCUCAGAAGGCACUGUCACAUAUUCAUGGGCCCAACGCCAAGGUGAUAUGUGUCUCCAGCCUGGACCCUGCCCACAGGGGGCAUUGUGACAUAUCUCUUGGCCCAUCAGAUGUUUGAUUGUUAUCCCCUCCCCUCUUCUACCCUGUGUUUGCCUAUAAAAGACACAGUCAUAUGUUCCUGGGCCCAGCACCUAGGUGUUGUCUUACUGGAAUGUGUCCACAUGGGGAUUGUGAUAUGUCACGUGGCCCAGUACUUAACUUGAUGUGACUCUCCUCUCAUGCCUAGGCCUUGUAGAGAAUCCCCUUCCCCUUUUGUUUUCCUUUUUUUCUUUGCAGAUCCAGGAGAUAAUCAACUAAGAGCCAGGCACCCGUUUAGGUCUAAUAAACAUUUUACAAACUGCUCUCUCUUUUAAUUCACCUAUCUGAGAGAUUCCUCUGUACAAUAAAACUUGGUCUCCACAAUCCUUUACCUUAACCUAAACCUUCCCUUUCAUUGAUCCCAGGUCUUCAGAUUCCACCACUUGUCAACCACAAAAUAUUUAAAUUUACCUGGAAGCCGCCCGCUUUGAGUUGUCCCGCCUUUCUGAACCAAACCAAUAUAUUCCUGCAAAACCGGCCAUGAUUAAAACAUCAAAAAAUAAUACAUGUUGGCGUGGCUGUGGUGAAAAAAGAAUACUUUUUCACUGCUGGUGGGUAUGUAAACUAGUACAACCACUAUGAAAAACAGUAUGGAGAUUCAUUAAAUAAAAGUAAAGCUACCAUUUGAUUAAGCAAUUCUACUACUGUGUAUCUACAUGAAGAAAAAGAAAUUAUAUGUGUAAGACACUUGCACACACAUGUUUAUAGCAGCACAAUUUGCAAUUGCAAAAAUAUGGAAGCAGCCUAAUGCCCAUCAGCUAAUGAGUGGAAAAAGAAAAUGUGGCAUAUAUAUACCAAUGCAUACUACUCAGCCCUAACGAGGAAUAAAAUAAUAGCAUUUGCAGCAAUCUCGAUUUAGUUGGAGACCAUUAUUCUAAGUAACUCAGCAAUAAAAAA